CAGCCGCCGCGGGAAUACAGAGGGUGCGAGCGUUAAUCGGAUUUACUGGGCGUAAAGCGUGCGUAGGCGGCUAAUUGAGUCGGAUGUGAAAUCCCCGAGCUUAACUUGGGAAUUGCAUUCGAUACUGGUUAGCUAGAGUGUGGGAGAGGAUGGUAGAAUUCCAGGUGUAGCGGUGAAAUGCGUAGAGAUCUGGAGGAAUACCGAUGGCGAAGGCAGCCAUCUGGCCUAACACUGACGCUGAGGUACGAAAGCAUGGGGAGCAAACAGGAUUAGAUACCCGGGUAGUCCCUGUCUCUUAUAU
rnacentral:rRNA from 1 species